GCGCGGGGGGCAGCUCGCGAGCGCACAGCUCUCCUCCCGUCUCCGCCCUUUCGGGGAAACCAAAAAAACACUGGACAUUUGCACACAAACAUACACCCCCCCCAAUAUCGGCCCCUCUCUGCUCCCUCCUCGUCCUGGCUCCGCGCUCAGUGUUGUUUGUAACUCUCCGUGCUCCCGCCUCUCUCCCUCUGCAGCGUCGUGUCUCUACAGCCCCGGCGCGAAGGAUAUAAACUGCCGUCUACGCGUCUUGUCCAGGUCUGACCCAGGGACGAUGCCAAGCACCGGGACUGCGGGUCCGAAAGUCCAUCGCCUCCAUUGCAUCUUGGAUCCCGAGGCCCUAGGGGUGGUGACGGUGCUCCUGGGAAUCUUCCAGCUGCUCCUGGCCAUUCCCGUUUACUACACUGACCUCCAGCCCCCAAGAGUUCUCAUCACCCCCGUCCUCAUCGGCGUGCUGUUUAUUAUAGCAGGGUCUUUUUCCAUUGCUUGUGAGAAAUCACCCAGUAGGCAGCUGGUAAGUUAUCUUUAGUAGUCAUUAACUUUACAACCAUAUCUGUAUCGGCUUUUCAUUUUAAUAACUCUUCUCUUAAUCCCUCACUCUGUUUCCAGUGAGUGUGUCUGGACUGUAUUAACCCCUCUCUCUCAGUGCAGUGUUAAUGUCC